GAAACUCGCGUUGAGGUGGGGAGGUUUCAUCUCGUCGAUCCCGUGCGGGCGAAACUCCGACGCCCGCUCCUCGGCCUUCUUCCCGCCUCCAUCGGCCUUCUUCCCGCCUCUUCCCGCGCCACUUCUACCUCUGCCCUUUCCCUUUUGAUUCGUGCGUGUAGUCUGAACUAGAGCAGAGCGGAUCCAGCGCUGCAUCUAGCAGAGUAGCGAAGGGACUCGGGGGCAGUCGGCUAGGAAUCAAGAAGGGACCGUCGCAUGCGUCAUCGCUGCCAGUUCCGCGGCCGGUGAUUUCCGCUGCCGGGGCUGACCCAACGGUACCGCGAGGAGGAUGGACACCGCAGCAAGCACCAAAUUCAUGGUAGUUGAUUUUGGUGUGUGUUUGCCUGGUUGCCGAUCUGAAUGCAAGUGCUUGCCUGCAACUAGCUGAGUUUAAUUCUGAAUGCAAGUGCUUGCCUGCAGCUAAUUCUAGUAGGGUUGCGAUAGAAGACAAGUCUAAGUCUAGGAGCAUGAUCUAGUUUCGGUUGCUGCAUAUUCUGAUUUCUGACGAUGACAUGUCCACUGCAUGUUCUUGAUGGUUUUCCUCUAAUUAGAAGUAGCCAUUUUUUUAAUGAUCUUGGUAUCCUAGUUAUGCAAAAUUGCAGGUUGUGUUGGGUGCGUGUGCACCUGACGCUGACGCCGGAUGAGAAAUGGCUACAGGAUUACAUGGGUACAUAUAAUCCCAACAAGUUGUACCAUUUAAAUACUUUGUUUGUCUUGGAAAUGUCAAAGUGAAACUCUUGCAUUGUUGGAAUUGUUUCAUAGAUAGUUUCAUUUGAGUGUUGAUGACAUGUUAAUUUUGGUAACCGUGUAAUGACACUGGCCAUUGAGACUGGCCUUAGUUAAUAAGUUAA